UACGAAGGGGGGCUAGCGUUGCUCGGAAUCACUGGGCGUAAAGGGCGCGUAGGCGGCCAUUCAAGUCGGGGGUGAAAGCCUGUGGCUCAACCACAGAAUUGCCUUCGAUACUGUUUGGCUUGAGUAUGGUAGAGGUCAGUGGAACUGCGAGUGUAGAGGUGAAAUUCGUAGAUAUUCGCAAGAACACCAGUGGCGAAGGCGGCUGACUGGGACCAUUACUGGACGCUGAGGCGCGAAAGCGUGGGGAGCAAACAGG
rnacentral:rRNA from 1 species